CCGUUCUUGUGUUAUUUUCUGGACGUUGUUCAAGUCCAGCGAUCGUCAAACAGAACGCAAAGUAAUGCAACGAAUCACUCCACAAUGUUGGGUCUACUUUGCCAGGACAGCAUCAUUACUUAAGGAUUGCAACAGCA
ensembl:snoRNA snoRNA:Psi18S-1377e snoRNA:Psi18S-1377e